rnacentral:rRNA from 1 species
GACGAACGCCGGCGGCGUGCUUAACACAUGCAAGUCGAGCGGAAAGGCCCUUCGGGGUACUCGAGCGGCGAACGGGUGAGUAACACGUGAGCAACCUGCCCCAGGCUUUGGGAUAACCCCGGGAAACCGGGGCUAAUACCGAAUAUGACCUCUGACCGCAUGGUUGGUGGUGGAAAGUUUUUCGGCUUGGGAUGGGCUCGCGGCCUAUCAGCUUGUUGGUGGGGUGAUGGCCUACCAAGGCGACGACGGGUAGCCGGCCUGAGAGGGCGACCGGCCACACUGGGACUGAGACACGGCCCAGACUCCUACGGGAGGCAGCAGUGGGGAAUAUUGCACAAUGGGCGGAAGCCUGAUGCAGCGACGCCGCGUGAGGGAUGACGGCCUUCGGGUUGUAAACCUCUUUCAGCAGGGACGAAGCGUAAGUGACGGUACCUGCAGAAGAAGCGCCGGCCAACUACGUGCCAGCAGCCGCCGUAA